CACACACACACACAAGCACACACAUCCACUCCCUCCCUCUCUCUUACUCUCUCUCUCAUUUCCCCUCAUAGGUUCUAUGCAGGCAGAUGAGUACCACAGCUGUAACUGAGGCACACGGCAAUAAACACAGUGGAGCCAAUUUCUACGAUGGCGAGAGAGGGGGCAUCAGAGUUGACAACAAUGACAAGGAUCCAAGGACCGUCCUUCUGACAAGUUUCAGGUCUUCUUGAAGGUAAUGCAUUGUAUGAGUGGUUAAUUUCACGAGGAAUAUUGAAUUCCAGGUAUCGGAAGGCACAUAUUUCCCAGG
rnacentral:lncRNA from 1 species